rnacentral:rRNA from 1 species
GUGCCAGCAGCCGCGGUAAUACGUAGGGUGCAAGCGUUGUCCGGAAUUACUGGGCGUAAAGAGCUCGUAGGUGGUUUGUCACGUCGUCUGUGAAAUUCCACAGCUUAACUGUGGGCGUGCAGGCGAUACGGGCUGACUUGAGUACUGUAGGGGUAACUGGAAUUCCUGGUGUAGCGGUGAAAUGCGCAGAUAUCUGGAGGAACACCGAUGGCGAAGG